AUUCCAUUUUUAAUUUGUUGUAUUUUAUUUCAUUACCACCCCAAAACUCAACACCAACAAUGGAAGCCGAACCCAAAGUAGAGCCACCGUCCGAUCAAUGGGCCGAUAUGGCGUGGACCAUGUUAACCACCGUACGCCGCCAAUCCCCGCUAAUCCAAUGCAUAACCAAUUUCGUCUCCAUGGAUUUGAUGGCCAACACGCUUCUCUCUGCCGGCGCAUCACCCGCCAUGCUACACACCCUCGAAGAAAUACCCCACUUCACUCCUCACGUCCACGCUCUCUGUCUCAACGUCGGAACCCUCUCCGCCGACUGGCUACCCUCCAUGAAAGCCGCCGCAAACUUCGCUUUUAACUCCUCCAAGCCUUGGGUUCUUGACCCUGUCGCUGCCGGAGCUUCCGGUUUUCGGUUGAAUGCUUGUUUGGAGCUUAUUCAACUCAAACCCACUGUUAUUAGGGGAAAUGGGUCUGAGAUUUUGGCUCUUUCCAAAGCUUCUGUUCAACCCACCAAGGGUGUUGACAGCUCUCAUGAGUCAACGGACGCCAUUGAAGCUGCUAAGUCACUGGCUCAAGCUACUGGUGCUAUAGUUGCAGUGUCUGGAGCUAUUGACAUUGUUACAGAUGGAAAAAGAGUUAUUGGAGCUCACAAUGGAGUGGCAAUGAUGCAGAAGAUUACAGCAACAGGUUGCUCUGUCACAGCACUUAUAGCUGCCUUCGUAGCCGUGGACCCUUCCAAUGCCUUUGAAGCCACAGCAUUGGCCUUAUCGGUUUUUGGAGUUGCCGGUGAGAUGGGAAUGAGGUUGGCCAAAGGUCCAGCUUCAUUGAGGAUGCACUUGAUUGAUUCACUCUAUGGACUUGAUGAAGCUACUUUAAUUUCACAUGUCAAAAUAACCACCUUUUGUGAUUGAAUUGAACAAUGAGAGAGAGGGACUCAUUGUUUUUGGAUAGCAGAGUUUCAGCUCCAUCUGUGGAGAUUUGGCCAGGAGGUAUGAGAGGUCUGAGCUCAGCAAUCCCAUAAGCAUUCUUAAACUUACCAGUCCCACCAGUUACUGACAACUGUGACAAAGUAGUACCAAUAGUAUAAACACCGAAAAAGUUAAGGUUAUCAUUGAACUCUCCUCCUUCCAUUAAGGCAGUGAAAGCCAUAAGCUGUUUCGACCCAUCUGCAGAGCUGGCGACAUAAACACCCUGAGCCUUUCCAAGUUGUUGGGAUCCCAACUCAGGAGUUGUAGUGAGUAUAUCAUCAAUAACAGUGAUUGUCCCGAACCCAAGUCCCAAACCAUCAGCAGCCAAUUGACUCUGUAAGUUGUUUGUGUUUUGGUUGUUAACAUUUCCCGCGAAAGCUGUUCCAGCCAACCCUGUUCCGAGAGGAAGGCCAGUGACACCAUUGACAGUAGGCAUAGCACCAUUGGCAUUGGGGAGAGCCACUGCAUCGUCUGGGGUUUUAAACCCGAUUGGCUUUGCAAAAGGGACUUGACUGCUGUAGAUGUUGCCUAGCAGUCCUGUGACCGGCCUUGCUGUCGGGUUACUACCCCCCAAAAUGUCAUGCAUAUACAUUUCAAGAACCGGUUCUCCUUCUCCAACAGGAACAACUGCAGCCACAAGAAGAAUCGGAUUGUAAACAGAAAUUAGUGUCAAGAAGAGUAAAUAAGAGAUUUUGGUACACAUGGGGGGGAGUGGUUGACUAGACCCAAAAAGGUGGUGAAGUUGUUGUGAGCUAUGCUGUUAAUGGAGAAGUUCAAGUUUGUAUUUUUAGCAAGUUAUGAUGAUGAUGAUGAUGAUGGGUUUGUUAUAAGUUUGGAUUUAGUUGGUUCUAUUUUAUCAGUUAUUAUCUGUAAAUUAAUCAAGUUGAUUUCACCAGCACCAAUACAAUGAGACUAGUUUCUAUAUAAUAUGGUUUUUGUUGAUGAUGACUUCAUUGUCAGCUGAGA